AAAGAAAUUGAAGCUAAUCACCUGCAUGUUCACCCCAAACCUAACCAUCUUAGCAUUCUUAACAUAAGGGAUUAAAAGAAGAAAGCUCAAGUCAUUCCGGAACGCAAAACAAACCACAACAAAGGUAAAGGAACUUGUUAGCGGCGCUACUUGGAUCGAACACACUCAUGAUGCACGCUUCCGCGAAGAUCCUAGUUUGGUUUAAAUUUUUUUUUUUUGGUUAAACGUUUUUGUUAAAACGGGUCUUUUG